rnacentral:rRNA from 1 species
AGCCUCUGGAAACGGAGAGUAAUACCUUAUACGCCCUUUGGGGGAAAGAUUUAUCGCCGAGGGAUCGGCCCGCGUUAGAUUAGAUAGUUGGUGGGGUAACGGCCUACCAAGUCUACGAUCUAUAGCUGGUUUUAGAGGAUGAUCAGCAACACUGGGACUGAGACACGGCCCAGACUCCUACGGGAGGCAGCAGUGGGGAAUCUUGGACAAUGGGCGCAAGCCUGAUCCAGCCAUGCCGCGUGAGUGAUGAAGGCCUUAGGGUCGUAAAGCUCUUUCGCCAGGGAUGAUAAUGACAGUACCUGGUAAAGAAACCCCGGCUAACUCCGUGCCAGCAGCCGCGGUAAUACGGAGGGGGUUAGCGUUGUUCGGAAUUACUGGGCGUAAAGCGCGCGUAGGCGGGCUAUUAAGUUAGAGGUGAAAUCCCGGGGCUCAACCCCGGAACUGCCUUUAAUACUGGUAGCCUAGAGUUCGAGAGAGGUGAGUGGAAUUCCGAGUGUAGAGGUGAAAUUCGUAGAUAUUCGGAGGAACACCAGUGGCGAAGGCGGCUCACUGGCUCGAUACUGACGCUGAGGUGCGAAAGUGUGGGGAGCAAACAGGAUUA